rnacentral:rRNA from 1 species
GAGUGAAGCGGCAACAGCUCAAAUUUGAAAUCUGGCCCCCCGCGGGCCCGAGUUGUACUUUGGAGAGGACGCUUCUGGCGCGGCGCCGUCCGAGUUCCCUGGAACGGGACGCCGGAGAGGGUGAGAGCCCCGUACGGGCGGCCGCCUAGCCUCUGCGAAGCUCCUUCGACGAGUCGAGUAGUUUGGGAAUGCUGCUCAAAAUGGGAGGUAAAUUUCUUCUAAAGCUAAAUACCGGCCAGAGACCGAUAGCGCACAAGUAGAGUGAUCGAAAGAUGAAAAGCACUUUGAAAAGAGGGUCAAACAGUACGUGAAAUUGUUGAAAGGGAAGCGCCUGUGGCCAGACUUGCGCCCCGCGGACCACCCGGCGCCUCGCGCGCCGGGGCACGCCAGCGGGGCGCAGGCCAGCAUCGGCUCUCUCGGGGGGACAAAGGCCGCGGGAACGUAGCGCCCUCGCGGCGUAUUAUAGCCCGCGGCGCCAUGCCCCCGGGGGGGCCGAGGACCGCGCUCCGGCAAGGAUGCUGGCGUAAUGGCCACCGGCGACCCGUCUUGAAACACGGACCAAGGAGUCAAGCAUUGGGGCGAGUGUCUGGGUGGCAAGCCCGCACGCGGAAUGAAAGUGAACGCAGGUGGGAGCUUCGGCGCACCACCGACCGAUCCUGAUGUCCUCGGAUGGAUUUGAGUAGGAGCCCCGCCGCUUGGACCCGAAAGAUGGUGAACUAUGCCUGUAUAGGGUGAAGCCAGAGGAAACUCUGGUGGAGGCCCGCAGCGGUUCUGACGUGCAAAUCGAUCGUC